UACAGAGGGUGCGAGCGUUGUUCGGAAUUAUUGGGCGUGAAGGGCGCGUAGGCGGUGCGGUAAGUCACCUGUGAAAUCUCCUGGCUCAACUGGGAGCUUGCAGGCGAAACUGCCGUGCUGGAGUGUGGGAGAGGUGCGUGGAAUUCCUGGUGUAGCGGUGAAAUGCGUAGAUAUCAGGAGGAACACCGGUGGCGAAGGCGGGUCUCUGGGCAGUAACUGACGCUGAGGAGCGAAAGCGUGGGGAGCGAACAGG
rnacentral:rRNA from 1 species